ensembl:lncRNA ATP13A3-DT ATP13A3 divergent transcript
GAACGGGCAAAAGAAAGAAAGAGGCAGGUAAGGGGAGGCGAGGCCGUCCAAAAACGCUGGGUGUCAGCCCGGGGUGGCUAAUGGAGGGCGGCUUUUCUGGUGGGAUGAAAUGGAACGGCAAAUCCCACUUCAUCCCCUUUGGGCUAUGACAACAUCAUAGUCCAAUCUCCCAUUUUAUGAACAGGGAAACUGAGGCUCAGUGACUAGACAGACGUUGCCCAGAGUCAUGGUCAUGGAGGAAGCUUGUGCUAGAAUGGUGGAGAGGAAACCAGAGCCCAGCUCCUAAUGCAAGGCUCUUUCAUUCCUUUAGCCACCCUCGCCCCCGCCAAAACAAACAGACAAAAAACUGUCAUUCUCAUAUGACCACGGACUCUGCGCCCCGGCCGCAGGCGGAGGACAGGGAGGAGCGCACACGAGAAAGCUCCCACGCGCCCGCGCCUCGCCUCCGACGGGAAGGCGCCUCUUCCGACCGUCCUGGAUGCAAAUUAAAUACUUCCCUCCGCAGAAGACUUAUCUCGGGGUAGGGCCGCAGCCGGAUUUCCAAAUCGCGGGUUUGAUUUUCGCUGCGUCCUCUCCGCGACGCGCGCAGGGAGCGCGCCCGGCCACCUGCAGCCUCUGGCUGCGGCCAUCUUUCCGCCUGGGGCCACCUGGCCUGCGCCCUUUGUGCCCGGCCCGCUCCGUGACUGUUCUUCUUGCCGCUACUUACAGAACUCAGCCGCCUUAGCGUCUUAGAGAAGAGGACGGCAUGCAUGCGGACCCCGUCCACCACACCUGGAGAGCAGGGAGCCCUUAGUCCCUGGACACUUACCAGGGCCGCCACCCCUGGUCCACGCACGUGAUGACAUCUCACCAGGGGCAGCACACCGCCCGAGUCCGCGACACUGAUAACACCUCCUGCGGGCAGGAGGGCGCCACAGCCACCCCUGGUCCCCUAGAUUGUGUGAGGCUAGCAUUUCUGCCCGCCUCUUGGCGUGGACAGCACGCUGGACCGAGAUGGAACCACAGCUUUCUCUUCCCAAUCCCUGGCCUCACCGUUUUGUUUCAUACCUCACCGUUUGUUUCAAACCUCGUGGUGUUGAAAUGAUUAAAUGAGAUUAAGGGGUGUGUGGUAGUGUUGGGCAAACCACAAGAAAACGGUCUGGGUGGGGUCUGGCCCUAAAAUCUUCCUCCCCCACCUCCCAGGCUUCCUUGCCUUGCUGCUUCCUCUCAGCCUUUAAACAGGUUGGCCUCUCCAAGUCCUAAAAACAAAAUUAUCAAGCCAACCUCCUCCUGAAGUGCUCCCUCCAACUAGCUUCCAAGUGUUUCAUGCGGACCUCAAACAAUGGUCUUCCCUGGCUGCCUCUGCUUCCUCAUUUCUCAACACUUGGCAUUCUGGCUUCUCCUCCCCAACUCUAACCCUUCACCUUGCUCAGGCAAGAGCAACUCAUGACUUUCAUUUUGCCAAACCUUGCAGGCAUUCCUCAGGCCUUAUCUCUCUGGUUCUUUCUGCUACAUUUGACACCUUGGGAUGACUCUCACCUUCUGGAAUCUCUCUACUACCUUGGUUUCAGAAGAGUGAACCCUCUGGAUUAUCACAUGAAGCUACUUCCUGUGAGCAGCCCAGGGAUGGCCAGUCACUUGUGACCUACUUUCAGAGCUGGCAGUUCUGACUUCUAGAACAAACUCGGAACAAGCCCAUCUACAGCUGGUUGACUGAGUUUCCUUUGGGCUCCUGGCACCAGAAAGAAUUGCUCACUGGAAGGAUCAUAGGUGGCACUCAUGUCUCACUGCCCCACUCAGGUAUGUAGAUUUUCAUUGCCCUAUAAACCACAGUCAACAUCUCAAGAUCUCCAGAAGGAUGUUUAUGAUCUUCUAUUUGCUAAAGACAGUUGCUUCCUUACGGUAAUUGCUUUAAAAGGUGGGGCACCGUGGCUCACAUGGGACCUCGUCUCUAAAAAAUAAAAAAAUUAGCCAUGUGUGGUGGCGUGCAUCUGUAGUCCCAUCCCAGCUACUCAGGCUGAGGCAGAAGGAUCGCUUGAGCCCAGGAGAUCAAGGCUACAGUGAGCUGUGAUGAUGUCACUGCAUUCCAGCCCGGGCGACAGAGCAAGACCCUGUCUCUAAAACAACAAAACAAAACAGAACCAUUAGCUCUUCUUUUUUGUUUUGUUUUGUUUUGUUUUGUUUUCCUCAGAGCAGAGAUGCCUCACUGUGAUAGGUAAAUUAAGGUGAUACUGAUUGCCAGCUCCAGUGUGGAAGUCCCGAGGUGAAGGAAUUUCUUUCAUAAACAUUUCAAAAGUGAGUCGAUCCAGAAUACACCUCCACCAUGAGAUUACCUGUAAUCUAAUUCAACCUAGAAGAUGGAGUCCAAACAGCUUGAGGUUCUGCAGAUUUCACAACAGCAGCCACAAAAUGAAAGUGAAGAAGGCUUUGGCCAGGCACGGUGGCUCACGCCUGUAAUCCCAGCACUUUGGGAGGCCGAGGCGGGUGGAUCAUCUGAAGUCGGGAGUGUGAGACUAGCCUGAUGCACGUGGAGAAACCCCAUCUCUACUAAAAAUACAAAAGUAGCCAGGUGUGGUGGCGCAUUCCUGUAAUCCCAGCUACUCAGGAGGCUGAACCAGGAGAAUCGCUUGAACCCAGGAGGCAGAGGUUGCAGUGAGCUGAGAUCGCGCCAUUGCAUUCCAGCCUGGGCAACAAGAACAAAACUCCAUCUGAAAAAAAAAAAAGAAAGUGAACAAGGCUUUAAGGUGGAGCACACUAGAAACAUCUUGCUAUUUCCACGUGUCUCUUUGUCACUACACUCCUUAAAUACACUUAAAUAGCUCAUAUUAACAACAGACACAACCAAUGUAAAACCUCUUGGGGCUUUAUAAGAAGUUUCCUAAAGUUAAUGCUGUAGAUUCCUCAUGAUCAUUUCAAAACUAAUGUGAUUUCUUUAGGGUACCUUUAAUUACACUUAUGACCUUGGUUUCAUUUUAAAAAUAUACAUACAUUUAAAGAAGACUGAGGACCCUAAGGAUCUCAAAUAUCCCUUCGACGGGUACCUAAUAGCUGUUUUUGAUUCCUGAGAUACUUGGUUUUAUCUCUCCUUUAGAAACAAAAAUUAUGCUCAGCUGUAACCUCGUCCAGCUCUACCAACUCAGAUAUUCACAGGCUGAUUUCAAGCUCCAAGAGAAAAAGUAGAGUCACGUUUACCUUUUUAUCCCCAACAACAUGUAGCCAUGUUCCCUCCCUAGUUCUGCAUCCUCAGAUCAACCAACCAGGGAUCAAAAAUAUUUAUGAAAAAAAUAACAAUAAAACAAUAAAAAAUACAGUUGACCCUUAAACAGUGUGGGUGUUGAGGGAGCCAGCCGCCAUGCAUUAAAAACUCUGAGUAUAAGUUUCAACACUCAGGCCUGGCGAGGUGGCUCACGCCUGGAAUCCCAGCACUUUGGAAGGCCAAGGCAGACAGAUCACCUGAGGUCAGGAGUUUGAGACUAGCCUGGCCAACGUGAUGAAACCCCAUCUCUACUAAAAAUACAAAAACUAGCCAGGCACCUGUAAUCCCAGCUACUCUGGAGGCUGAGGCAAGAGAAUCGUUUGAACCCAGGAGGCGGAAGUUGCAGUGAGCCGAGAUGAUGCCACUGCACUCCGCACUGGACAACAGAGUGAGACUCUGUCUCAAAAUAAAUACAUUAAUUAAUAAUAAAUAAAAAGUACAAAAAAUUAGCUGGGUGUGGUGGCACACACCUGUGGUACCAACUACUUGGUAGGCUAAGGUGAGAGGAGUGCUUGAGCCCAGGAGAUCAAGGUUGCAUCGAGUCGAGAUCGAACCAUUA